ensembl:lncRNA
AUAUAAGUAGUGGCUAUGAUUGCUGUGGUUCUAUUGACAGGCAUUUGAGAAGAGUAUUUGUGUGAAGAAAAUAAUGAAUUUCAGCUUGGAACAUGUGGAACAAGCACUUAGAGUUUGCAUCCAACUGGAUGUAAAACCAUUUAAUGUCCAUAUUGUCCACUUGACAUUAUGCGCCAUGGGGUCAGAGACUGCCUGGGUCACCCUUGUACCUACAGCACAAGAAAAGUGCCUGACUCACAAAGAUUCCAUUCACUGAAGAAAAAAUAAACCUCCUUCGGAGGCUAAAGAAGCUGAGUCUUAGAUAAGUCCAUUGGCCAGAACCACCAGGAGGCUCCACCCACAUCAAGGCAGUGAAGGAG